ACGGUGAAGCUCAGCUUGCUGGGUGGAUCAGUGGCGAACGGGUGAGUAACACGUGAGCAACCUGCCCCCUACUUCGGGAUAAGCCUUGGAAACGGGGUCUAAUACCGGAUAUGAACACUUGUCGCAUGGCGGGUGUUGGAAAGUUUUUCGGUGGGGGAUGGGCUCGCGGCCUAUCAGCUUGUUGGUGGGGUAAUGGCCUACCAAGGCGUCGACGGGUAGCCGGCCUGAGAGGGCGACCGGCCACACUGGGACUGAGACACGGCCCAGACUCCUACGGGAGGCAGCAGUGGGGAAUAUUGCACAAUGGGCGAAAGCCUGAUGCAGCGACGCCACGUGAGGGAUGACGGCCUUCGGGUUGUAAACCUCUUUCAGCAGGGAAGAAGCGAGAGUGACGGUACCUGCAGAAGAAGCGCCGGCUAACUACGUGCCAGCAGCCGCGGUAAUACGUAGGGCGCAAGCGUUGUCCGGAAUUAUUGGGCGUAAAGAGCUCGUAGGCGGUCUGUCGCGUCUGGUGUGAAAUCCCAUGGCUCAACUGUGGGCUUGCAUCGGGUACGGGCAGACUAGAGUGCUGUAGGGGAGACUGGAAUUCCUGGUGUAGCGGUGGAAUGCGCAGAUAUCAGGAGGAACACCGAUGGCGAAGGCAGGUCUCUGGGCAGUUACUGACGCUGAGGAGCGAAAGCAUGGGGAGCGAACAGGAUUAGAUACCCUGGUAGUCCAUGCCGUAAACGUUGGGCACUAGGUGUGGGGCGGGUUCCACUCGUUCUGUGCCGCAGCUAACGCAUUAAGUGCCCCGCCUGGGGAGUACGGCCGCAAGGCUAAAACUCAAAGGAAUUGACGGGGGCCCGCACAAGCGGCGGAGCAUGCGGAUUAAUUCGAUGCAACGCGAAGAACCUUACAAGGCUUGACAUGUACGAGAAAGCCCCAGAGAUGG
rnacentral:rRNA from 1 species